GAUGAAGAACGUAGCGAAAUGCGAUAAGUAAUGUGAAUUGCAGAAUUCAGUGAAUCAUCGAAUCUUUGAACGCACAUUGCGCCUGCCAGUAUUCUGGCGAGCAUGCCUGUUCGAGCGUCAUUUCAACCAUCAAGCCCCAGGCUUGUGUUGGAGCCCUGCGGCUGCCGCAGCCUCCCAAAACCAGUGGCGGGCUCGCUAUCACACCGAGUGCAGUAGUUUACUCUUCGCUCAGGGCGUGUGGCGGGUGCUAGCCGUGAAACCCCCAACUUCUCAAGGUUGACCUCGGAUCAGGUAGGAAUACCCGCUGAACUUAAGCAUAUCAAUAAGCGGAGGA
rnacentral:misc_RNA from 1 species